rnacentral:rRNA from 1 species
UGGGGAAUAUUGCACAAUGGGCGGAAGCCUGAUGCAGCGACGCCGCGUGGGGGAUGAAGGCCUUCGGGUUGUAAACUCCUUUCGACAGGGACGAAGCUUUUGUGACGGUACCUGUAUAAGAAGCACCGGCUAACUACGUGCCAGCAGCCGCGGUAAUACGUAGGGUGCGAGCGUUGUCCGGAAUUACUGGGCGUAAAGAGCUCGUAGGUGGUUUGUGGCGUCGUCUGUGAAAUUCCGGGGCUUAACUCCGAGCGUGCAGGCGAUACGGGCUGACUUGAGUGCUGUAGGGGAGACUGGAAUUCCUGGUGUAGCGGUGAAAUGCGCAGAUAUCAGGAGGAACAACGAUGGCGAAGGCAGGUCUCUGGGCAGUAACUGACGCUGAGGAGCGAAAGCAUGGGUAGCGAACAGG